GUGUAUGAAGGUGACCUGGCUGUGGCAUCUCGCCACACUGAUUGACAGGCUUGAUUGGGCUGUCCCCUUCUUCCCUCGUUGUUUCAUGGGUCCCUCUUGAAGGCUCAUGCUUGAUAGGUGAAGACAGCCUUCCUGAUACAGGAGGGCCAUGCUUCCCUUCUAGACUUCCACCUAGCUCUCAAGAGUGAGCCCUGCCUCAGACUAUGAACUUCCACUCAUAGUAGUCUCUUAACAUUUUACAUUUAUUUUUAUUUAGU
rnacentral:snRNA from 1 species